GACGAACGCUGGCGGCGUGCUUAACACAUGCAAGUCGAACGGUGAAGCGCCUUCCUUUUUGGUGAGUGUGGAUGAGUGGCGAACGGGUGAGUAACACGUGAGUAACCUGCCCCCUUCUUCUGGAUAACCGCAUGAAAGUGUGGCUAAUACGGGAUAUUCUGGGUCUGUCGCAUGAUGGGUCUGGGAAAGAUAUUGUUUCGGUGGGGGAUGGGCUCGCGGCCUAUCAGCUUGUUGGUGGGGUGAUGGCCUACCAAGGCGGUGACGGGUAGCCGGCCUGAGAGGGUGGACGGUCACACUGGGACUGAGACACGGCCCAGACUCCUACGGGAGGCAGCAGGGGGGAAUAUUGCACAAUGGGCGCAAGCCUGAUGCAGCGACGCCGCGUGAGGGAUGGAGGCCUUCGGGUUGUGAACCUCUUUCGCCAGUGAAGCAGGCCUGCCUCGUUUGUGGGUGGGUUGACGGUAGCUGGAGAAGAAGCGCCGGCUAACUACGUG
rnacentral:rRNA from 1 species